GAGGAAUAUUGGGCAAUGGACGGAAGUCUGACCCAGCAACGCCGCGUGAAGGACGAAGGCCUUCGGGUCGUAAACUUCUUUUGAGGGAGACGAGGAAGGACGGUAUCCCUCGAAUAAGCCACGGCUAACUACGUGCCAGCAGCCGCGGUAAAACGUAGGUGGCGAGCGUUAUCCGGAUUCAUUGGGCGUAAAGAGCUUGUAGGUGGUGCGAUAAGUUGGACGUGAAAACUCCGGGCUUAACUUGGAGAGGCCGUUCAAUACUGUCAUGCUAGAGGGCGGCAGAGGGAAGUGGAAUUCGUGGUGUAGCAGUGAAAUGCGUAGAUAUCAGGAGGAACAUCCGUGGCGAAGGCGGCUUCCUGGGGCGCACCUGACACUGAGAAGCGAAAGCUAGGGGAGCAAACG
rnacentral:rRNA from 1 species